rnacentral:rRNA from 2 species
GGACUACACGGGUAUCUAAUCCCGUUUGCUCCCCUGGCUUUCGUGCCUCAGCGUCAGGAAAUGUCCAGAGACUCGCCUUCGCCACUGGUGUUCCACUUGAUAUCUACGCAUUUCACUGCUACACCAAGUAUUCCAGUCUCCCCUCCAUUCCUCUAGCGAGAUAGUAUCCAACGCAGUUUCCGGGUUGAGCCCGGAGAUUUCACGUCAGACUUACCUCACCGCCUACGCACCCUUUACGCCCAGUGAAUCCGAACAACGCUUGGGACCUCUGUAUUACCGCGGCGGCUGGCAC